AAGGCACUGGAUUGGUCAGUUGAGUUUUCUUAGCGAAACUGGCCAUUCCAUUGUCUGGC
rnacentral:pre_miRNA from 1 species